rnacentral:rRNA from 1 species
CGUGAACGCUGGCGGUAGGCCUAACACAUGCAAGUCGAACGGCAGCACAGUAAGAGCUUGCUCUUACGGGUGGCGAGUGGCGGACGGGUGAGGAAUACAUCGGAAUCUACUUUUUCGUGGGGGAUAACGUAGGGAAACUUACGCUAAUACCGCAUACGACCUACGGGUGAAAGCAGGGGAUCUUCGGACCUUGCGCGAUUGAAUGAGCCGAUGUCGGAUUAGCUAGUUGGCGGGGUAAAGGCCCACCAAGGCGACGAUCCGUAGCUGGUCUGAGAGGAUGAUCAGCCACACUGGAACUGGGACACGGUCCAGACUCCUACGGGAGGCAGCAGUGGGGAAUAUUGGACAAUGGGCGCAAGCCUGAUCCAGCCAUACCGCGUGGGUGAAGAAGGCCUUCGGGUUGUAAAGCCCUUUUGUUGGGAAAGAAAAGCAGCAGGUUAAUACCCCGCUGUUCUGACGGUACCCAAAGAAUAAGCACCGGCUAACUUCGUG